rnacentral:rRNA from 1 species
AAUGAACGCUGGCGGCAUGCCUAACACAUGCAAGUCGAACGAAGGCUCCGGCCUUAGUGGCGCACGGGGGUGUAACGCGUGGGAAUCUGCCCCUUUGUACGGAAUACCAGUUAGAAAUGACUGCUAAUACCGGAUGAUGACUUAAGUCCAAGGAUUUAUCGCGGAGGGAUGAGCCCGAGUAGGAUUAGCUAGUUGGUGUGGUAAGAGCGCACCAAGGCGUCGAUCCUUAGCUGGUCUGAGAGGAUGAUCAGCCACACUGGGGCUAAGACACGGCCCAGACUCCUACGGAAGGGAGGAGAGGGGAAUAUAGGACAAUGGGGGGAGGCCUGAUCCAGCAAUGCCGCGUAAGUGAUGAAGUCGUUAGGGAAGUGAAGCUCUUUUACCCGGGAUGAUAAUGACGGUACCGGGAGAAUAAGCUCCGGCUAACUCCGUG